rnacentral:tRNA from 1 species
GCUAGCGUAGCUCAGUGGCAGAGCGGUCGUUUCAUAAGCGACAUGUCACAGGUUCGAAUCCUGUCGCUAGCA